UGGGUUGAGGCUCAGAGGUAGAGUACUCGCCUAGCACGUGUGAAGCCCUGGGUUCAAUCCUUAGCACCACAU
rfam:Ictidomys tridecemlineatus contig057531, whole genome shotgun sequence.